rnacentral:rRNA from 1 species
CCUACGGGUGGCAGCAGUGAGGAAUAUUGGUCAAUGGGCGAGAGCCUGAACCAGCCAAGUCGCGUGAGGGAGUACUGCCCUAUGGGUUGUAAACCUCUUUUGUCGGGGAGCAAAAGCCGGACGUGUCCGGCUGUGAGAGUACCCGAAGAAAAAGCAUCAGCUACCUCGGUGCCAGCAGCCGCGGUAUUAGGGAGGAGGCGAGCGUUAUCCGGAUUUAUUGGGUUUAAGGGGUGCGCAGGCGGAGUUUUAAUUCAGCGGUCAAAUCGUGGGGCUCAACCCCAUCCAGCCGUUGAAACUGGGGCUCUAGAGUGUGCGAGAGAUAUGCAGAAUGCGAGGUGUAGCGGUGAAAUGCAUAGAUAUGACGCAGAACCCCGAUUGCGAAGGCAGCAUACCGGUGCACAACUGACGCUCAGGCACGAAAGCGUGGGUAUCGAACAGGAUUAGAUACCCUAGUAGUC